GGAUGGGUGACCUCCGGGAAGUCCUUGUGUUGCACCUCU
rnacentral:rRNA from 1 species